ACUUAUAUAGUAUAAAGUAUAUAUGACUUCCAAUCAUAAGGACUAAAUUUAAUUUAGUAUAAGUA
rnacentral:tRNA from 1 species